CGCACACCAACUCAACGAACACAAGAGAGAAUAGAACAUUCUCAAAGAGUAGAAGAAUACAAGAAAGAGCGAGAGAGUGAGAUGCUAUAGCGGUGCAAUCAGGAAGAAGAGCUCGUCAGAACGGAGAAGAAUGCAAGGUCAAAGAUCCACUGUCUAUUUGUCGCCGAAGACAGAAUCAAUGAGCGCAAAGGAGAUCAGAUAAAGAAACCCAUCUGGUGCUUGGGGACCGCUGCCAUUCCGCCCCACAAUCAGAAAUUAUCAAAACAUCUCCCCCUCUCUCUCCAGGGAUCUGAUUCCAAAGUCGAAGAAGAUUAAUUAACAAAGAUGUCGGCGGCGCAACUGGGAACAAUGGUGCCAACUACGGACAUGAUAGACCUGGCGAUUGAUCCUCUUUAUGGCAACUCAUGUCAAGCUCUAUGAAUUCACCAUCGCUUUGCCCCAAUGGGUGGAAACCGAUGUGGAAGGCUAUUUGUUUGUGAUAAAGAGGUACUGUUGCUUGACUGCAAAUUAAAGAUGAGGAAGCAAAUACGCACAGCCACGAUCUUCAAGGUAGUGGAUGAAAGAUCAUUGUUUAGUUACAGAUUGGUGUUGUUUGAAGAAUACAGUUUAAUAAAAUGUGUUUUCUCAUUCAAUGCUCAAAUUCAAAUUUGUUGUGCAUAUAUAUAUAUAUCUAUAUAUAGUACUUUUUGCAGUAAAGGAUUAUAUAUUACAGACAAAGUACAUAUAUUUCUUAUGUAAAAUAUAUUGCCCCCUGCUGCUGAUUUUUUAUUCCCAUUUCUUGUUCAUUGAUUUCAUUUGUAGCGGGCAACAACAGCUUCAAACAGUCCUUCCCACUGCAGUGCUUGAAGUGCGACUGGAGCUGUCAUUUGCUGCUCCUAUUUCUGUCCAUGUUCAUGUUGGCACGAACUCUUUUAUGUAUCCUUUUUUUUUCUCCCUGCCACGCGGGGUUUGGGUGGGGUCUAACUAGUUUACAGGAAAUCCAGCUGAGCCAUCUUUGAAGGCUUUAAUUUAUUUGAAAAAUGGAAAUGUUCUCUUAAAAAUGUUUCCAAAUGUUUAUGAUAUCAUUUUGUAUUAAUGAUUUUAAUUUUUUUAUCAUAGUUCAUAUGCUUAGAGUUCAUGCACAAUAUUCCUGCACAUUAUAGACCAAUCCUUAGAGACCUAAUCUUCAACUAAGUUAAAGAUUAAGUCUCUAAGAAUUGGUUCAUAAUGCACAAGAGCAUUGUGCAUGAACAUAUGAACUGUAAAAAUUAGAAUCAUCAAUACAGAAUGAUACCAUAUACAGUUUGAAUACAUUUUUAAAACAACAUGUCUAUUUCAAAUAAGUUAAAAGUCUUCAAAGAUGGCUCAGCCCACAAAAAAAAAAAAAAAAGGUAGGAUACAUGCAUUAAGAGAGUUCAUGCCAACAAGAACAUGGGCAGAAAUAGGAGCAGCAAAUGACAGCUCCAGUCACACUUCAAACACUGCAGUGGGAGGGACUACUUGAAGCUGCUGUUGCGCACUACAGAUGAAAUCAAUUAAUGAACAAGAAAUGGGAAUAAAAAAUCAGCAGCAGGGGGCAAUAUAUUUUACAUAAAAAUAUUUGUACUUUGUGGGGUUUGUCCAACUUUACUGAGAAAAAGAUUAUAUAUAUAUAUAUAUAUGCGCAACAAAUUUGAACGCAUGUGCAAAACAUAAUCGUUGUUUGAGUAGGAGAAAAUACAUUUUACUAAACAUUCAUCUUUAAUUUGCAUUCAAGCAACUGUACUUUAUCAGAAACAAAUAGCCUUCCACAUCUGUUUCCACCUACAAUCAAAAUGGAAGUAAAUCAUCAGAUCGGCAAGCAAUUUAUGUGUGUUUGUGUCUGCGCUUUUUCUUUUUCUAUAUGCUGGGUUUUUCGAGUGAAAAGAGAUGAAUCAAAGAGAAAGAAGUAGGAACAUGGAACGAACCCACUGGGGCAAGGCAAUGGUGAAUUCAUAUAGCUUGACAUGAGUAGCCAUAAGGAGGAUCUCUUCAGUAUAAGAUCUAUCGCCAGGUUUAUCAUGUCCGUUGCUGGCACUGUUGUUCCCGACUGCGCUUGCGACAUCUUCCUUAUUCUUCUUCCACCGUAAUCGAAUCCCUGGAGAGAGAGAUAUAUAGUGAUAAUUUCUGAUUGUGCGGAAGAAUGGCGGCGGUCCCCAGGCAACAGAUGGGCUUCUCUAUCUAAUCUCCUUCACGCUGGUUGAUUCUCUUUCUCCAACGACAAAAAUAUGAUAUUUUCCCAAGACUGUAGAGGCAACGGCGAACCCUCUAAGAGACAAAGUUCUGAUCUUUUCCAAAUGCUGGUCUAUCUUUCAAUAUACAUAUAUUUGCUAGGUCUCAAUUUUUGAAGCAUUUUUUUUUUUUUUCUAAUUCCGAUGUAUUUCGUUUUUUAUGGUUAAUUGGCAUUUUUUUUGCAACAUCUUGAAGCAUUAUUUUAUAGCUAGGUCUCUUUUCAUAGGAAUUUCCAUUUAUAAUUUUCUAAUCCCAUUCACCUACCAAAUUAAAUAAUAAAUUCCUCAUUUGGCUUUUGUA